ensembl:lncRNA uncharacterized LOC115497306
GAUGGCGCUCUCCGUGAGGCACGGACGGGACAGCCGGGGGUGGCGGGAGCCGGGCGGCACCUCAGUGGAGACAGUCCGCGGGGCCGAGCGCCGGGGUUCCCGGGCUGCCCCCGCCACCGCCCUCCCCACCAGCUGACAUUUGCCAUGCGCAGACAACACGCACUUCACCAAACAAUUCGGCCCGAGCCCCGCUGCAAACUGGCUGGGUUAUUUUUCUCCUCGUUCUCCGCUUGUUUAUGGCUGACGCUAUCUCGCCUGCACUGCUCCCUCGGUUUCAUUAUCUCUUCUCGCAGAUGGACCGUGGCUUUCCUCCUUCACAGCGUUUUUCUCUCUGCUGGUGCUAUAGCUCCCUCUCCUCUCCCCAGCUCUGCAUCCCUCACCUUUGCUCACAGGUGAGCCUUCCCCAGCAAAGCACUUCACUCCAGCCGUCCUUCCUCCUGCAAUCCUUUCUCCUCUGAAGACCACAGCAUCCUGUAAAAUAAAGCCAAUGGCACUGGUGUAUUAAUAGUAAAAUCGUGGCCAGCAGGACCAGGUCAGUGACUGCCCCUGUGCUGGGGCACCUCCAAUUCCGGGGUGUAACAGCCAGCGUGUCCCUCCAAGGCAGCACCUGAGUGGGUCAUGUCUGUGACAUUCUUUAAGGAAGAUGCUUCCUCUGGAUCACUUUCUUAGGGAGCCAUUCUGGUAGAGCUGGGAGCCACCAUGCAGUCUGGAUCCAGAGUCCUGGGUUUAUUCUGGAUUUGAUUUUGCUGGAUCCCUGUGGAGAACUCUGACCACCCUUCCAAGAUACUCUGUGACUGGUUUCUUUUCUCAGAGACUGAGUUAGAGGAAAUAUUUCACAGAGCAGUAGCUGGGCAAAUGCAAAUCCUCCUUGCAGAGUUCUUUUAACUUCAAGCCACUAAAUACACAUUUAGUCUAUGGAACCGUAUUUACUUCCCCUCUCAGGGGAACAAGUUUUGUCAGCUCUAAUGAUGAGCUGUUGUUUGACAUUCAUAAUAUUGUACUUCACUGCUUAUCUGAUGGAGCCACGCAAAGCUAUUUAGGGGGUUCUGAAAUGUGACAGCCCACAUGAUGCUUUUUUAGACUUCACAAACCGCCUUCACGAGGCAGAGAAUACGGCAUGGGAACGGCUGGCUGGAACAACGGUGUGCCUGAGUGCCAGCGGGGUUGCUGGAGCUGGGGAGGAGGAAUGGUCUUUGAAAGUUUGCAGCUUUUGUUGUGUGCUGUCAAAGGAAGAACUUGCAGCCUGGAAGAACAGGCAUCGUGGAUGCCAUAGGGUGGGAAGUGUGGAGUUUAUUGAUCCUGCCUGGAAACAGCAUAAAGAUGGAGGCAAAUAUGUUAAAACCUGUUUGGACCAUCCACAAACAGAAGGGGGCUCAAGGGAGACAGCUCAGAUACCCCAUUUCAUGCUGUCUUGCCUUAAUAAGCAGAAAGAUCUCACUUUCUAACAAAUUUCUGUAUCUUCAUCCUUUCUGACAUGCAGAGCAUUUAUUGCAAGCUUUGUUUUGAAUUCUGGAAGCCUCCAGGUAAAAUAAGUCAUUUAGGAAAACCAAACCUCAACAAAUCUUCUGGCUUCUUCUCACAGACUAACACGUAAACACUGGCAAAUAUUGUGAAAGACUGUUACUCCUUCAUGGUUUUAAAAAUUAUAAAGUAUCACAAUGUUUAUUUCAUUUUUUCCAUAGCAAAAGAGCACAAGGGUUACCUUUGACAUCUGUUCCAUAUGAACCCAUGGAAGCUGAGUAAAUGGGUGGUGCAUUCUCACUUCCUUGCAGUGGCCAAGUUGGUUUUGUGUUCUAUAUUUUCAUCCUUCUGAAAUUGCUAUUCAUUUUUUUCAUAUCACUGAGAGGAUUUCAUAUCCCAGAUGAGAUGAACAGAUUAAAUAAGCAAGUAAGCAGUAGAAGAUGUUUUUUUGUGACUCAAGAGAAAGAAUAAAUUCCAGUCUGGAUGAGUAGAAAUCUCUGACUCCCCUGAGACCAGGAUUUUUCUUGCAGGCUUUAUGGUUGUCUAAUUGGAGUGGUCUUUUUGCCAAAAGCAAUGCAGAAUAUUCCACUUACCUGACAAAAUGUCUGCCACCAGGAGGUAGCUUCACUCAGUUAUACAUUUCUUUAAGAUGAAGACAAACUUAAAUUUAUUGCUCAUUUCAUUCAUAACCAGAAGUUCUCCUCACUUGCCAAACUGCUGAAUCAGCUUGGGUACCUCAGCCUUGAGUCAGCACAGCCCAAAAUAGAAACUUGCUCCAUUUCCGAAGAGAGGAAGUACCACUGUUGUCUGCAAAUACAACCACAUCUGACUUGCUUUUAUAGCUACAAACACUCAUGCAGGGACUUGCAUGGCACUCUGCUGCUUUAAAAAAAAAAAAAAAAAAAAAAAAAAAGGAAGUCAAAAGGCACUUUCUUAUUUAAAAUAGGAGUGUUAGGGUUGCUAUGAGUGGGACUGUGUGGAUGUGGAAGUGCCAAGGAAUAACGAGCAAGAGAAGGACUUUACAAGUGGCAGUCAUUGAUGUUACCUAGCCUAGCCCAGCAUCAAGCUCCCACUCCACCUGCUUGUAGUUUCUCAGGAUGUACUCAGGAAUUAGGCAGACAAUGAACAGGCUAUAACCAAACUGAAGCAAAGUUUUAAGCCAUUAGGAAAUAAUGGCAAGAAAACACAGUAGAAGCUCUAAAACACUGACUGGAGAUCAGCUACAGCAUUCCCAAGGUAGAGCUGAGUCAGUCCUGCUGCCAUAAGGUAACUCCACUUUAUAGCACAGCAUAAAACAGCAAAAAACCUGGGGAAAUGACCAAGAGCUGCAGUCAAAUACUGGGAAGUGACACUAAAGUCAUCAGCAGGACUUCAUGAGUAGGUGGAAGGCAGUGGAAAGGCACAUAAUGUGAUACAAAUGAGGGAGGAUUUUCUGUGGCUCAAAGUCAGGAUUAGAAGUAGAAGAAUGAGAAUAAUAUGAAUUUGCUCAAUCUGCCCUUUUCAAGCUCUGCAGUUUUUUCUCUUGCAAAUGAGCAUCUGUGGUAUUUGGCAUCCUACAAAAGGACCCCCCAUUGACAAGCAGCACUGGGGUGCCCCUUCCCAUGGGUGCUCCUGGUUUUCCUUUCCUGUAUACCACAGGAUGGUGUCAUGUUCUUCCUGGUCCAAGCAAACUACUGUUUCUGGUGCCUCCAUUUAAUGUGUCUGAACUGGCUCUAUUUUCCACAAGGAAAGGCCAUUCCAAUGGGCAGACAAAAAUCAGUAACCACUUUCAAAUCAUGGCCAGACAAGUUGUGAUCCUUGGCAUAGGAUUUUCCUGCAGUACUAUGGAGGAAGCUGUAGAUAUUUGAAAAAAUUGCCAUUUCUGCAACAGGUGUGAAGGUUGCAACACACAAUUUUACCAUUUUGGGAUUUUUGCAACAAUGCAGUUGCAAAUUGAAGCAUGUUUUAUAUGUAGUGUUUUGGAUUAUUCAGUUGAAAGAGGUGGGGAUGAGGAUUUACAGGUGUAAUUACAGGAUUGUGCAGUCACCUUGUGCACACACUGCAGGUUUGGAAGGAAGAUCUGCUGCAAAUCCACAGAAAACCCCAGCUAAGGAAUUGCAUGUGCCACAAGCAAUUACACAGCGUAAAACUUUGUGAAACAUUUGCUAUGUGUGCACUAGGCCCUUUUUAAAUUUAGAUUUCUAGGAAGAAGAGAAUUGCUGGGGCAUUUCUGUGACCUGAUCCCUCGUCUUGGUUGAUCCGCGGUGGAAAGGUGACCCCGGGCACGGCUGAGGGGGAAUGGAUCUGGUGAGAGCCAUCGCUGUCUGAGCCAAGCAGAGUGUUCCCAACUGCAUCCCUGAAUAGAUUCACUUGCUCUUUCCCUGGCUCUAUUUUAGCCACAAAUCUGUUAUUCUGCCCUGUGGGUGCCAACAGGUUUUAAAAAAUAACCAAACUCAGUAAUACUGGAUUUCUGGUGCACUUUUUUUUCCCCAAAAGGGUUGAAGUGAACAUUCUUCUCACCUAUACCUAGGACCUCACCUGUGUGGCUGCAAAGGCUUCACCUCUGGUGACAUCCAAAAAGGUACAUGAUUCUUGCUCCUUCAGUGGAGCAGAUAUAUCUCAGCAACUUAGCAAUGUUGUGAUAAGUAUGAAGUGGAAGGCAUUGAAAAACUAUUAUAUCAAUUUUUAGUUUGUAUUUAAGACCAUUUCUACACACUUUUGUGUUCUCAAGCUUGGAAAAAGUUCACUUUUGUCUACAAACACAGGAACCAGUUGUUACUUCAAAAUUUUGUUGUGAUGGUAGGAUUGAGACUUGGAUGAAACAAGGAUUCAUACAGGGAAAUUUAUAGAAUCAAACAAUCAUGGAAUGAUUUGGGUUGGAAGGGACUUUAAAGAUCAUUUACUUCCAAACCCCUGCUGUGGCAGGGACACGUUCCACUAGACCAGGUUGAAUGUGAAAGCAAACAGCUUCCAAAAACUCAUGUUUAAAACUGAGUAUGAAUGCAUGUUUGUGCCAUGUGCUUUGUUCUGUUUCCAAAGGAAACAAAAGAAGAAAAUGUUGCUGAGAAUACUAAAACAUAACACUUUGGCAGCAGUGGUUAUCACAUCCUCCAGGCAUUUUUACCUGUGGUGUUGCCCUGACAAUUGUGGUGCAUUGUGGAAAUAAAAUGUGAAGUCACUCAGGACUGGUUGUGGAUGAGGCAUGUACAUAAAUACCUUUUGACAGAGGUAAGAGGGAAUGCUUGUUUCUACAGGGGAAAGGGAAUAGUGGUUCUGAGAACUGAAAACACAGCAAAUGUUUGUUAAAAGUGGAGCUGGGGAGCAGGACAAGGUGGCACAUAGAACCCAGUGAAAGGUCACAGAGGGAGAAAUGCUACAAUCCAGCAUUUAUUGGCUAAAUGUAACCAGGAUUUAGGAAUGGGACCCUAAUCCUUUUAUAAACCAGGAAUCUCUUUGAGUUGGGUGAAUGGGACAACCAACAGCCACCAUCAACUAAUAAAAAUCACACCCCCGUGCUUUGUGGCACACAUUAAACUCAGUGGAAGAGUCAGGGAAAAUCCCAUGGCAGGCUGUCCAGCAAAUUCCCACCAAAGGUUACCUCCAGGCUGCAGCUUCCAUAAGCUCUGAAUGAUUUGUACCUGUGAGAACUGCUCAGAGGUUGCUUGGUAGAUUCAGAGGGAUGAGUUAUUCACCAAAGGGAACCUGGUAAAGAUGGUGCUACUAUGUGUGAUCUCAUGCCUAAAACUGUCCCACAUCUUGUCUGUUUAUUUGGGAAAUUAAUUUCUAGAACACUUGGAAAACAAAACCAGGAAUUGAAAUUGCCUCUCAAUAUUUCUUCAGUCCAAACAAAAAAA